GGAAGGAUCAUUAGAGGAUUAUAAACAUAACACCUUCAUACACACACAACACGUUUCACCUAUGCAUUCAGUACCGGGUGGGUCGGUACUAAUUGGGCACCGAUUAUCGAUGUCUCGUUGGGCCGACUACCGUCUUCGCGGCUAUUUGAGAGUAGGGGACUCUCUUUCAUAUUUCAAUAAAAGAGAGCUUCGCUCUUGAAAAGCCGUGGGGUUUCUUUAAGUUGAGUGUCUCGCAAACACUCAGCGGGGGAGCAAGAGGCGCUUUGGCGGCGUUGAUCUGUGGUGGCGAUCACAGGUUAACUACGUUGAAGACUUCUUGCUCCUGUCGGGUAACGGGCGUAAGAGCGGUUUCAUGGGAAGACGCAUUCCAGUGAUACCGCCCGAUAAGCUCGUUACUAUCAACCCGUUUGCACAAUGUAUUCAGUAACGGCGGUAUAAUGUGAAAUUAGGCGGGCCAGUACGGCCUGCCUUUUUCACGUUGUCCGCAGGUGGAGGUCUGACCAAGCUGCCCCUGUCUUUUAUCUGCCCCCCUCCUCGGGGGUGUCGGUUGUAAAGGCAGGAUUGGCGCUCGUAAGUGUUAACCUGACUACCUCGUCGAGAGUGGGGCUUGCCUGAUCAGCAGCCCUACUUUUGACACCCGCGCUCUCUUCUUUCUGGCGGCUGUGCCUGAUCAGCUGGCCGUCGGAUGGGUGAGUGUCGGUCUUAAAAAAUACCAUUACCAAUUACCUUUUUAUACAACUUUUAGCGGUGGAUGACUCGGCUUUCGUAUCGAUGAAGAACGUAGCAAAGUGCGAUAACUAAUGGGAAUUGCAGAAUACGUUGACCAUCGAGUUUUUGAAUGCAUCCUGCGCUCUGGUUCCGUUAGGAGCUAGGGCGUACUUGAUUGAGCUCGGGCAUUAUACGUCUCUAUUACUACCCUUCUUGCGGGAGGGGUGGUGACGGGGGUUGUUGAGGGUUUACUUUUUAAACGGGUAAUCCCUUCAAGUGCAUUAGGCGUUAUUUAACGUGGCUACGACUUUGCUUUAAUAGCCACCGUUACUAGCCUCUUCUUAGAUAGUAAAAUGACGGUACAACCAGUAAGCGGGUCUUUUGCACCCCGUAUCACCAAUGCAUUCAGUAACUGUGUACCCGUUUAACUUGCAAGGCUCUAAAGCGGUUUUGUAGUUAAGGGUCGGGUAGGAACACCAUAUCGAGCGCGCUGCUUACUGCGGUUAUUUUUCUUGGCGAUUAAGGAGAGGGGAGCAUCGUUAGUGGCAGAACGAGGCAUUGUUAGUAACACGUUACGGAGGGGUAAAAGCCCUCAAAUAACGGCUAUGACCCCAAAUGCGCGGGUCCAAAAAUCCGUUUAACUUGCGGCGCUCUUCAUUGAGUGCUUCCGUUAAGUGGAGAAAAAGCCUUAGGGGCGGCGGCUCUAUAAGGCGACUUUUUUAAGUACCGACUCAAUCAAGUACGAUUACCCGCUGAAUUUAAGCAUAUUAUUAGGCGGAGGAAAAGAAAAUAACUAUGAUUCCCUCAGUAACGGCGAGUGAACCGGGAAGAGCUCAUCCUGAACCGGUAGGAACUAACCUUCUUAUUGGGAUGUGGGGUUUCGUCUAGUCUAUCUGAGAGCGGCUCUAGCUGAACUCCCCUGGAAAGGGGGACCACAGAAGGUGAAAGUCCUGUAGGCUGUUAAAGGGUCGCUUUUGGGCAAGAGGCUAGUACGUAGAGUCGGGUUGUUUGGGAGUACAACCCUAAUCGGGUGAUAAACUUCAUCCAAAGCUAAAUACCAACGAAAGACCGAUAGCAAACAAGUACCGUGAGGGAAAGUUGAAAAGAACUUUGAAAAGAGAGUUAAAAGUACCUGAAACCGCUAAAAGGUAAGCGAUUGGCAUCAUCGGCGUAAUAGGCAUUGGGAUUCAUCUAGUGGGACUGUAGCGUCCCUAAUUAAGAGUGCUCCGACGGGAGUGCCUUGAAAGGGGCCGCGUAAGACUCACUGGUGCAUUUUCUGGUGCUUUACGAUCAGGGUCGUUUUAGACUAGGGGAAAAAGCUAGGUGCUUGGAAGUGCCUAACUAGCACGGAUGUGCGCCUAGGUAAUACCCUAGGCUGGAACGAGGGCUUUGAAAGAGGCAGUGGUAGGGGUAUUCUCGGUAGCUGGGUCGGUAGCAAUACCGGUUCGGUGAUCUUGAACCUACCAUCGAACCUUGAUAAGAUGGAAUCAAUCGUCCCGUCUUGAAACACGGACCAAGGAGUGUAAAUGAUGUGCGAGUCUUAGGGCGUUAAAACCCAAGGGCGCAAUGAAAGUAAUCAUGCAUCUGAAACCCGCAAGGGGACUGCAAGGUGGACCGACAGUAGGUUACGACCUACUGUUCGAGUAAGAGCACAUCGUUUACGACCCGAAAGGUGGCGAACUAUGCUUGUGUAGGACGAAGCCAGAAGAAAUUCUGGUGGAGGUUCGUAGCGUUAUUGACGUGCAAAUCAUUCGUCAAACAUGAGUAUAGCGGCGAAAGACUAAUCGAGCCGCCUAGUAGCUGGUUCCCUC
rnacentral:misc_RNA from 1 species